UACAGAGGUCUCAAGCGUUGUUCGGAUUCACUGGGCGUAAAGGGUGCGCAGGCGGCCGUGUGUGUGAGGCGUGAAAGCCUGGAGCUUAACUCCAGAAUUGCACCUCAAACUACAUGGCUAGAGCAUUGGAGAGGGUAGCAGAAUUCAUGGUGUAGAGGUGAAAUUCGUAGAUAUCAAGCGGAACACCGGUGGCGAAGGCGGCCUUCUGGACAGUGACUGACGCUGAGACGCGAAAGCGUGGGGAGCAAACAGG
rnacentral:rRNA from 1 species